CGGGGCUCUCAAUCCUGAUCCGCUGCGUCGGUGACUGUUGAGUGCCCCUGCUCGAGCUUGAAUAAAUGACCCUCGUGUGUUUACAUCGGAAUCAGCUCCUUGGUGGUCUUUGGGGACCUCGCGAUCUGGGCACAACAGAACUACUACAGGGCUGCUGCUGCAGAAAUGAAUAAUUGCCCUAAAGAUCAUCUGGCCUGCAAAACUGAGUAUGUUUACUAGCUGGCUCUUCACAGAAAAAGUGUGAGGACUCUGUCUGCCUUAGGACCACCACUCCAAGGAGGAUGGCAGUUAGGAUGGCCCUGCUUCGGUAAUUGUUUCGGGCCCUAUCAUGGGAACUCAGGGCAGAGCGAUGAACACGGACAGGGAGGAGUGCCUGUUCUCAGGGGCUGGCCAUCCUACUGGCGGGAGCAGGAGGAAACACCUAAGAGCACUGGAUAGCAUGUUCCUGACAAUUCAGAGUAGAGACCAGUAAAUCCAGCUAUUACCUGGCAGGCAUAGAGGGUUCCAGAACAUUCUACAUGCUCUCAGUCGGAAGGUGCUCAGUGAUGGUGUGGGGACACAUGUGGCGCCAUUACUGUAGAGGCCAGUGGGGAGCCAGAUGAAGAGAACCCGUGUCAAUCUCUGUCAUCAUAUUGGAUAGAGGGGCAUAGGUGGGCAUUACAACCCUGGAACCCUGAGCAUUUACCCAAUGGGAUCAUGUUAACCAAGAAGCGACACUUUUGAUGGACAGAGACUGCACGUCCACAAAUUAGGAGAGUUUAAGCUACUGCUCACCACCACCAUCCAUUGGAAUGGGGCCUUUAGGCGGAGAUGAGGACACUUAUGGGACUUCUUGACCAUCACUGACACUCUGGAAGUCUGAACUUGGAAACAGCCCAAUUGCCCAUCAGUUGGAGACUUGGAGACUGGAUGAAGAAAAUGUGUUUUUUUAUAAAAUGAAGUACCACUCAGCCAUAAAGAAUGAGAAGCUAGAGACAUUUAUAGCUAAAUGGAUGCACAUUGAGGCCAUACUCUUAAGUGAAAUAAAUAGGACAUAUGUGUAAAUAUCGAAUCGUUUCUCUGGUGUGAGAAACAAAGUGUAAAUAAGGAUCAAAAUGUACAAUAGAUAAUGUGAAAUACAAAGAAAAGGUGC
ensembl:lncRNA